AUUGACUAUGCUCUGCCGCGAGAGCGAGCGCCGGCGGCACAAGGAACGGUGGUUCCGCAGACGCUAGUGUAAAAUACAGGUUAUGUUACGUUUUAAUACUUUGUAUUCAUUAGUAUUGAUUGGAGUUAAUUUGAAAUACGGAAAUAUUUUUAUGAACUGUUUUAUAUUUCAUAAUUUGUUUCCUGGUGUUGGAAAACUUCUGUUCUUCUUAUAAUAUUGUUUUUUUGAUUUUGUGUAAAAACUUUUAUUGUGUUUAUUGUUGUGUGCUACGAUCAUCCUUAUUACUAUGGAAAACUCUAUGGAAAACCAAUGUGCUGUUUGUAAAAAAGACUUUUCCAGCAAGUCUAAAUUAAGAAGUCAUGCAAAAAAGUUCCAUUCUGAUUUGGUAAAUGAAAUUGCCCCAAUGAAGGUGGUUAAAGUCGCAGCCACCUGUAACAAGUGCUUGAAAACAUUUUCACAAUAUUCAAACCUUAAGAAGCAUGUAAUAAAAUUCCAUCCUGUGUAAGGUGUAAGUUCUAUCUUAAAAACAUUUGGAGAUAACUUGCAAUUCAUAUAAAAAUUAGAAAUACUAAAGCAAAAAUUCUAUUAUUCAUUUGCAUACCGUAUACCGGGCUGCCAUUUCUUUAUUUUUCCACCCUGUAUACUGAAACUUGGUAGAAGGCAAAAGUCAAGAGGAUUUUCAUAUUGAAAAAGAAAAACUUAAAAUAAAUGUCUUACAGCUAAUAGAAAAAGUAACAAAUAAUGAUCAAUUGGAAGCUUUUAAAAAGAUUAUAGCCCCUUUGGAACCAACUAUGGCAGCCGUGCAGGAAAAAAAUGAACCCACACUGCCCGCUUCCCACAAAAAGAAUAUUCCACACAUAUAAAAUUAUAGAUAAACAAAGACGAUUUUUUUCAACAAAGAAAAAAAAAACAAAAAAAAGCCAACUUAAAUAAACCAAAUGCACAAGAGGCAGAUGUUACUGCUAUGCAACUUUUAAAUAUAUAGAUUAAUAAAAUAUAUUUUAUUCAAUGUCAUAAUAAUAUAGUUUAUAAUUAUAUGUUAUAAUUAAUAAAAACAAAAAGUGUUAUUAAUUAA